CCAGACUCCUACGGGAGGCAGCAGUGGGGAAUAUUGCACAAUGGGGGAAACCCUGAUGCAGCAACGCCGCGUGAAGGAAGACGGUUUUCGGAUUGUAAACUUCUAUCAAUAGGGAAGAAAGAAAUGACGGUACCUAAAUAAGAAGCCCCGGCUAACUACGUGCCAGCAGCCGCGGUAAUACGUAGGGGGCAAGCGUUAUCCGGAUUUCCUGGGUGUAAAGGGGGCGUAGACGGCCAUGCAAGCCAGGGGUGAAAGCCCGGGGCCCAACCCCGGGACUGCCCUUGGAACUGCAUGGCUGGAGUGCGGGAGGGGCAGGCGGAAUUCCUGGUGUAGCGGUGAAAUGCGUAGAUAUCAGGAGGAACACCGGCGGCGAAGGCGGCCUGCUGGACCGCGACUGACGUUGAGGCUCGAAAGCGUGGGGAGCGAACAGGAUUAGAUACCCCAGUA
rnacentral:rRNA from 1 species